rnacentral:rRNA from 1 species
AUGCGUUGUUGGGUAGGGGAGCGUUCUGUAAGCCUGCGAAGGUGUGCUGUGAGGCAUGCUGGAGGUAUCAGAAGUGCGAAUGCUGACAUAAGUAACGAUAAAGCGGGUGAAAAGCCCGCUCGCCGGAAGACCAAGGGUUCCUGUCCAACGUUAAUCGGGGCAGGGUGAGUCGACCCCUAAGGCGAGGCCGAAAGGCGUAGUCGAUGGGAAACAGGUUAAUAUUCCUGUACUUGGUGUUACUGCGAAGGGGGGACGGAGAAGGCUAUGUUGGCCGGGCGACGGUUGUCCCGGUUUAAGCGUGUAGGCUGGUUUUCCAGGCAAAUCCGGAAAAUCAAGGCUGAGGCGUGAUGACGAGGCACUACGGUGCUGAAGCAACAAAUGCCCUGCUUCCAGGAAAAGCCUCUAAGCAUCAGGUAACAUCAAAUCGUACCCCAAACCGACACAGGUGGUCAGGUAGAGAAUACCAAGGCGCUUGAGAGAACUCGGGUGAAGGAACUAGGCAAAAUGGUGCCGUAACUUCGGGAGAAGGCACGCUGAUAUGUAGGUGAAGUCCCUUGCGGAUGGAGCUGAAAUCAGUCGAAGAUACCAGCUGGCUGCAACUGUUUAUUAAAAACACAGCACUGUGCAAACACGAAAGUGGACGUAUACGGUGUGACGCCUGCCCGGUG